GAUGAACGCUGGCGGCGUGCCUAAUACAUGCAAGUCGAGCGAAUGGAUUAAGAGCUUGCUCUUAUGAAGUUAGCGGCGGACGGGUGAGUAACACGUAGGCAACCUGCCCAUCAGCCGGGGAUAACUGCGGGAAACCGUGGCUAAUACCGGAUAAUCCUCUCCACCGCGGGGUGGGGAGUUGAAAGACGGUUUCGGCUGUCGCUGAUGGAUGGGCCUGCGGCGCAUUAGCUGGUUGGCGGGGUAUCGGCCCACCAAGGCAACGAUGCGUAGCCGACCUGAGAGGGUGAUCGGCCACACUGGGACUGAGACACGGCCCAGACUCCUACGGGAGGCAGCAGUAGGGAAUCUUCCGCAAUGGACGCAAGUCUGACGGAGCAACGCCGCGUGAGUGAAGAAGGGUUUCGGCUCGUAAAACUCUGUUGUUAAGGAAGAACGCCAGGUAGAGUAACUGCUACCUGUGUAACGGUACUUAACCAGAAAGCCACGGCUAACUACGUGCCAGCAGCCGCCGUAA
rnacentral:rRNA from 1 species